rnacentral:lncRNA from 1 species
AUGGCAGGAGUCGUGGUGAGCGGAGCGCAAGUGUCUUACAUUAGUCAAGACUGUGAAGAAAUUCCAGAAUUCCUAGGAAGAAUAUAUGGACAUAUGGCAAAAAGGCUAGAUCUUAGCUUCAACUUGUUAAGUAGUUUGGAACCUCCUGAUGAGUGGAUUCUGUUCUGUGCCAUCAGUUCUAACAGACUUUGUUGUCCCUACCAGAAUACUCAGAUUUUGGAAGAGUGCUGGAAGUCCAAGAAAACUGCUGACACUGACAGAAGAGGAAAAUAUGAUUUAUGAUGACAUCACGUAUUACCCAAGCAAAUCUGUUUUGAGGAAGAUUGGUUUUUAUGGUGUGUUGAAAUAAAGAAACCGUGAAUCAUUCUUGAAGGAGUAUU